CAAUAGCGUAUAUUAAAGUUGUUGCAGUUAAAAAGCUCGUAGUUGGAUUUCUGGUGGGAGCGAUCGGUCUGGCGCUUAGCGCGAGUACUUGCAUCGUCUCCGGCCAUCCUUGGGGAGAGUCUGUCUGGCAUUAAGUUGUCGGGCAGAGGAUCCUCAUCGUUUACUGUGAAAAAAUUAGAGUGUUCAAAGCAGGCUUAUGCCGUUGAAUAUAUUAGCAUGGAAUAAUAAGAUAGGACUUUGGUACUAUUUUGUUGGUUUGCGCACCAAAGUAAUGAUUAAUAGGGACAGUUGGGGGUAUUCGUAUUCCGUUGUCAGAGGUGAAACUCUUGGAUUUACGGAAGACGAACUACUGCGAAAGCAUUUACCAAGGAUGUUUUCAUUAA
rnacentral:rRNA from 1 species